AUACGUAGGUGGCAAGCGUUGUCCGGAAUUAUUGGGCGUAAAGCGCGCGCAGGUGGUUCCUUAAGUCUGAUGUGAAAGCCCCCGGCUCAACCGGGGAGGGUCAUUGGAAACUGGGGAACUUGAGUGCAGAAGAGGAUAGUGGAAUUCCAAGUGUAGCGGUGAAAUGCGUGGAGAUUUGGAGGAACACCAGUGGCUAAGGCGACUGUCUGGUCUAUACAGGACACUGAGGCUCAAAAGCGGGGGGAGCAAACAGGAUUAGUUACCCGGGUAUUCCACGCCGUAAACGAUGAGUGCUAAGUGUUGGGGGGUUUCCGCCCCUCAGUGCUGCAGCUAACGCAUUAAGCACUCCGCCUGGGGAGUACGGUCGCAAGACUGAAGCUCAAAGGAAUUGACGGGG
rnacentral:rRNA from 1 species